UACGUAGGGCGCAAGCGUUGUCCGGAAUUAUUGGGCGUAAAGAGCUCGUAGGUGGCUUGUCACGUCGGGUGUGAAAGCUUGGGGGCUUAACUCCAGGUCUGCAUUCGAUACGGGCUGGCUAGAGGUAGGUAGGGGAGAACGGAAUUCCUGGUGUAGCGGUGAAAUGCGCAGAUAUCAGGAGGAACACCGGUGGCGAAGGCGGUUCUCUGGGCCUUACCUGACGCUGAGGAGCGAAAGCGUGGGGAGCGAACAGG
rnacentral:rRNA from 1 species